rnacentral:rRNA from 1 species
UACGUAGGGUGCAAGCGUUUGUCCGGAAUUAUUGGGCGUAAAGAGCUCGUAGGCGGUUUGUUGCGUCGGCUGUGAAAUCCCGAGGCUCAACCUCGGGUCUGCAGUCGAUACGAGCAAACUAGAGUGUUGCAGGGGAGACUGGAAUUCCUGGUGUAGCGGUGAAAUGCGCAGAUAUCAGGAGGAACACCGGUGGCGAAGGCGGGUCUCUGGGCCGUAACUGACGCUGGAGGAGCGAAAGCAUGGGGAGCGAACGGG